CGGCCUGAUGGGAGCCAAGGAGGCUCUGGCCAGUAACGAUGCGGUGCUGGGGGAGGUGCUGCAGGUGCUGCAGGAGGAGCAGGUCCCGUACACGGCGCUGUUCACUGCCCGCAGGGCCCACGAGCCCCCCGGCCCCGGGGGGAUCCCGGGGGG